rnacentral:rRNA from 1 species
AGUGAACGCUGGCGGUAGGCCUAACACGUGCAAGUCGAACGGCAGCACAGUAAGAGCUUGCUCUUACGGGUGGCGAGUGGCGGACGGGUGAGGAAUACAUCGGAAUCUACUUUUUCGUGGGGGAUAACGUAGGGAAACUUACGCUAAUACCGCAUACGACCUACGGGUGAAAGCAGUGGAUCUUCGGACCUUGCGCGAUUGAAUGAGCCGAUGUCGGAUUAGCUAGUUGGCGGGGUAAAGGCCCACCAAGGCGACGAUCCGUAGCUGGACUGAGAGGAUGAUCAGCCACACUGGAACUGAGACACGGUCCAGACUCCUACGGGAGGCAGCAGUGGGGAAUAUUGGACAAUGGGCGAAAGCCUGAUCCAGCCAUACCGCGUGAGUGAAGAAGGCCUUCGGGUUGUAAAGCCCUUUUGUUGGGAAAGAAAAGCAGCAGGUUAAUACCCCGCUGUUCUGACGGUACCCAAAGAAUAAGCACCGGCUAACUUCGUG